CUCUCAGCAGGCUGUGCGCGGCCGUGAAUCUUCCCCCCGCGCGUGAGGAGCUCACCGCCGCUGAGAGCGCGGGAGGUCGCCUCGCGAGUCCCAAACAGGUUUCUAAAACAACGAACUUAAUGAGACAACAGCCACCGCAGACCUGCGCUCUGUCAGCAAGAAGCCUGAGUUCUCGGAGGUGCAGUUAGUGUCUCAGGGUCCACGAUGCUCACAAAUGCUAGAAACCUAAGGUCAGGAAGGAGCUCAGCGACGCUAGCCCGGGUCUCCAGCAG